UGGGGAAUAUUGGGCAAUGGGCGAAAGCCUGACCCAGCAACGCCGCGUGAAGGAAGAAGGCCCUCGGGUUGUAAACUUCUUUUACCAGGGACGAAGGACGUGACGGUACCUGGAGAAAAAGCAACGGCUAACUACGUGCCAGCAGCCGCGGUAAUACGUAGGUUGCAAGCGUUGUCCGGAUUUAUUGGGUUUAAAGGGUGCGCAGGCGGCGCGCCAAGUCAGCGGUCAAAGUUCCGGGCUCAACCCGGUGUCGCCGUUGAAACUGGCGUGCUCGAGUGCGUGCGAGGAAGGCGGAAUGCGUUGUGUAGCGGUGAAAUGCAUAGAUAUGACGCAGAACUCCGAUUGCGAAGGCAGCUUUCCAGCGCGCUACUGACGCUGAGGCGCGAAAGCGUGGGGAUCGAACAGGAUUAGAUACCCUGGUAGU
rnacentral:rRNA from 1 species